rnacentral:rRNA from 1 species
UUUGACCUCGGAUCAGGCAGGGAUACCCGCUGAACUUAAGCAUAUCAAUAAGCGGAGG